AAGCCAAUUUUGUAGACAUAAACGUAUGUUGAUAUGGAUAUGGCUUUAUGAAGCUGGUAAUUCUGGCCCCAAAUGUCAACACAAGUCGACUAUAAUUCAAAACUCAAGUAAUCACUAUACCCAAACAUGGGAAUAUAAACCCUAAACCAAAAUAUAAACCAUAAAUUCAAAUAGAAUGAAACAAAAUAAAUAAUAUAAUAUGAAAGUUCAGGAGUGUUCUAUUCCAUACCAAAAUAGUAUAUAACACCAACCCCAUACAACCCCUCAAUAAUUAACCAUAUAACAACCCCACCAUAAACUCCUAAAUACUUAACCUUAAACCAUAAUCACUAAAUCCUAAACUAAAUAUAAACCCUAAACUCAAAUAUAAACCUUCAACCUAAAUAGAAUGGAACUAAAUAAAUAGCAUAGUACAUAUUGAUGAAAUUAUGAAAUGUUUAUGAUAUCAUGGAAGAAGUUAAUGCUAAUCCCAACCUUACCCCUUUCACCAACAAAAUACUAUACCCUAAACCUUAAUCAUUAAACUCUAAACCCAAAUAUAACUCAUAAACCCAAAUAUUAAAAGUAUGUAAAAUAAUUAAUUUCCUUAAAUCAUAGACCUAACCCCCAAUCUCACCCACCCUCUAAAUUCUAAACCUUAACCUUUAUUUACUAAACCCUAAAUUCAAUUAUAAACCUUAAACCCAAACAACAAAUGUAGAUGUGGUUAACAAAAUUUGUGUGAAGUUUACCCUUAUGUGGAUCGGGUUAACGAAGUGAUAAAAUUGAGUUUUAAAUUCUUAGUUUUGAUCAAUACGCAUAAACUAAGAUUCAUAGCAAUAAUACAACAACAAAACAUAACUUAUGCUUAUGCACUGUACAAUCAUAUUUAUAUUAUAUGUUCUGCGUAUAUAAUAGAAUACAACAAAUAAUAAAGAUUAUAUACUCCAUUUCACAUGAAUGGUCUUUCCAUUUUACGUACACACGAUCUAUUUCACUUAUAUACACAUUGCAUCAUUACAUAUAAAUGAAAAUAUAUUCACCAGCUAGCUCAAAUCCAGUUUCGAAUAAUCUACUUGACAGCCUAAAUCUUUCAUUUGUAACCUGAGAAACAAGAGAAAGAUAAAGGCUUUAGGAUUCAUAUAACAAGGUAAAUGUAAAAUAAAUUAUAUAGUGCAACAAUAAUAUGGAAUGGAAACUCUGUAAGGCGUAACGAUAUGCAUAGCUCACGAUCUUAAACCACACAGGAGAAUAAAAAACCCUAUCAACUAAUCAUGAAACCCUACACGGAAAUAUGACACAUAAUUCAGUGUCAACCCCAAUCUUGCAAUGACGAACUCAAUAUUCCGAAACUGACCCCUCUCCAACCAUCACUAAACCCUACACGGAAAUGUAAACCCUAAUACAAGUAUAAAAAUAAGUAAAUAUAAAUACAAGUAUGAAUUAAGAAUCUAAAGAAGGUGAUAUAAAACGUUCGAAUUGAUUUCAUUCAAAAUCAAAUGGAAUAUAAACGUCUAUAUUUUAUUCUAUUCCAAGUCAAAUGGAAUAUACCUAACGGAUAUCAUGUCAUUUCUAGACUGUGAAACCCGUUUGUAACGCAAAUGCUAUUCUAUAUCGAAACAGUAUUACUACACCAUUUACUAUGCAUAUCAGAUAAAAACACAAGUGGAAUAGUUGAUUUGGACACAGACAAAGAGAAUGUGAAGAUAAUCUAAGGAAAAACACGGAGAACUUACAGGAGUUUCAAAGUUUUGAGAAGAAUCAAAUUCGUGAAGUUGAAGAGGAAGGUUGUGUUACUAACCGCCGGUGAAACACUAACGCGGAAGACGAUUGACAAAGGAAUACGAAGGAGAUGUAAAAGCUUUCGAUUGCAUGCGGAUGCGAGGAGUUGGAGGAAAUUGGCGUCGGAGACCUUUCGACUUCGAGAAAGUUACCAAAUGAAGUAUAAAAGGGGAAAUGUGAGGUAGGAAAAGACACGUUUUACUUUUGUACACAAUUAAUAAUGAAUAAUUUUAAUUUAAUUUUUGUAGGUUGCACCGGUUAUACGAAGGGGUAUUACAGUAUUAAUGUAUAUAUUUAACGGCGUGUAUAUGACUGUUAGGGGAAAUAGCUAGUGGGUGAAUUACUGUUUUUUUUCAUGGUUAUAGGCUCCAAUUUCUCUUGUUUUAAUGUUUGAAUUGAUUGAAAAAAAAAAAGUGUUUUUACAAUUUUAGACCGAGAAGAUCUUCUCUUACUUUCCUAACGACCUUAAGUCUUAGUAGCAAACCAGUCCUGUACCCCUUCAGUCAGGCCAUAAUCUGCCUUUGUUUUAAACGAUAGCAUGCUAUUUAGCGAUUAUGUAUCGUCUUAUCUAUCAGACCAUGUAGAGACAGUGGAGUUGUCACUGAGCUUGUUGUCUCUUCCUGUCGACGUGUGUUCCUUUUCCCUUUAUAGAUUAAUCGCCUAUUUAUACUAUUAAUCACUGAUCUAGCAAUUGACCUCAAAUAAUUCUUUCAAACGGUACCAUUAAAAUGACUACUAAGCUUUACUAAGUUGAAAUUACAAUCCUAUUUGGAUUGUCAUUUAGGUCUCAAGCAGUGAAAGUGGAAUACUUUUUCUGUCGCAAAAAAAGUUGAAUCCCUUUUACACUAGUUUGAAAUUUUAUAUAUUCUUUUUUUGUAACAAGAGGAAACAAAUUUAAGAAAAUUAUUUUUAGUCAUUAUUCAUUCAAAACUCAAAAGUUACUUUUCUACAUAUGAACGUUGCUUCUGUUAUAUAACUUUCUCUGUUUUUAACUUUAUUUCGAAAGAACAUGAUUCCAAUCCAAAGAUUUUGAUUUUUACAAUCUAUAGUUUUCUUUUUCUUUUUUCAAUCUGAGAGACUAGACAUGUGAUUUGAUCAAAAAAAAAAAAAAAAAGAGACUAGACUUGUGCAUUCGGUAUUUUGGUAGGGUCCAGACCGGUUUCUUUCGGAGUUUUCGGGUCCUAAAUAUUUAGAUUUAACUAGGUACUUGGAAAUUUUUGUUUCGGAUCUGGGUGGAUACCUUUCGAAUUCGGAUCAGUUCGGAUUGGUUCGGAUCUAUAAUUAAAAUACUUAUAAACUACUCGUAAUUUUUGAGAACGUAGCAUGUCUAGCUCGGUUCAGUUAUUUAGCACCCGUAAAGAUCCGAAUUACCCAAACCCAAUCAAAAUUUAUUCAAAAUCUUUCACACACACAUAUAUAUAUAUCUCAAAUUUUACAAAAUAACCAAAAUAAACUAUUAAUAAUUGAAAUUAAAUAUUUUAAACUCUAAAUUUGAUAUUUAAAGUUUCAUAUUACGUGAAUAUGUUACAAAAAUAAUAAUGAGUAAUUACAAACAAAAGGAAAUUACAACUAAACCAUAAAUUAAAAUAUGUAAAACAUAUUACAUGGAGUCAUAGUCCUUGAUAUUCAAUGUUUUCACGUCAGGGUCUAUAUUGAUUUCAAGUCAAGUAUUACUAUUUUCAUAUCAGUUCCGAUUCAGAUUGUUGGAUCUAAGUAAAAUGCCCAACCCUACAAAAGCUAGACCAUUAAUUUCUCUAACCCUAGUAAAUUAAUUGUAAUUGAAUCGGUAUUUUUGGAUUUAGUAAAUUAAGUGAACCAGUCAGUCAUAAACCCACUUUAGAUCCCUUGGAUUUGGUUUGGUCUUGGUUACAAAAUAAACGUCCAUCAUUCGAAGAAGAACCGCGCUGAUGCUCUAAACUAUACAGAGUUAUUCUUCUAUCUAACGUAGAACGGUGACAACACAUUCUAUUGACCAAUCCACUUUUCUGUAACCAUAGACUUGGGAUUCCACCACUUUUUUCUCUCUACUUUUAGAGAAAAUUACAUUCAUGGAUACAUUUUGACUUUCUAAUAUCACUUAAAGACACAUUCUACUUCUCACACACUUUGGAGUUGUUCAUUGUCCAAUAUGCCCUUGAAACAUUACUCUCUUUUCUUUUGUUAUUUUUUGUUUCUAUACUCUCUCAUCUCUGGUUAUUUUCUUUUUUAUCAAAAUCUUUCAUUACUUCUUAUUCUAACUAAUCACGCUUUUUAAUUAAUGUUUUAAAUUUUAAAAAUUAAAUUGAGAAAGCCCACUUUCCCAAUUGUGCUCCCAAAUCACUAACCCUAAUCCCAUUCUCUCUCGUUUCUAUUCUACCCGAUGAAGAACCAGAAUCCUUAUCACUAACCUUAAUCCUACGCUAAACAUAUCUUCUGUCUCCUCUCUCAAUCGAUUUUUCGUGUCCACUCCACUCUCUUAAAUCUCCACCAACAAGAACGUCUUUGACAGCGGCGGAUUAAGCGGCGAGUUCUUGAUCUUUCAUGAAAUCGCGAACAGUAAGUCAAGUGAAGGGCGGGCUUGAUUCUGGUUAAAUCAACAAACCAAUACGGUUAGAAACUUGAUGGAGAUAUGUCCGAAUACGUUUCAGUUAACAGCUUUGAGUUCUUGAACGGGUUCCAGAUCUUGGAUUGUCGUGUUGGUUAACAAUUGGGAUCUCAUAUCACUGUUUGGCUACACCGCACUAGACACACAAGAAGAUGAAGAAGACAAAGAAUAGGAUGAGAGACAGCAAAUAAAAGAGUAUCAAUUACAUUGUGAGAAGAACAUGAACGGUUAACAGAUGCGCUAAGGAAUCAUUGGUUUUUCUAGAAAUCAAUUCUUUCUCGUGUUAUGACCAUAUAUGGGAAAAAGAAGGCAUGAUGAAGUGGCAUGUUCAUGUACGAUGAUGAUGGUUCUGCUGUCAGCGUUGCAACACGAUGGUUCUUCUUGUCUAUAACUCAUUCUUCCAAAAUUCUUUUGUCCACAGUUUUCUCAUCCACAACUAUCACAUCCACAUAACCUUCGUCCACAAUGUUUUUGUCCCCAGUUUGCUCAUCCACCGCUAUCACAUCCAUACAACCUUCGUCCACAAUGUUAUCUACGACUUAACUAUAUAAGGGAAUUGAGGACACUCUUUCUCUAGACGACACAUGUUGUCUACAACUUAACUGGCUACAACUUAACUCUCAUAUCCAUAACUCUCACGUAUACAUUCUUCUGUCCACGCUUUUCCAUCCACGACAUUACCUCCACAACUAUGCUGUCCACACCUAUGUUGACCACAAUCUUUAGCCAGUACCUCGUUCUCAUUGUCCUCAUCAUGGAAGCUUUCUUCUUCCUCUAAAACACCACUGAAACUGUAUCUCUACCAUGUUUUCAGUCACAAUCAACUACAGUCUCUUCAAUUUCGCACUCUCCAUCAUACCCAGUGUAAUUCGAUCCAAAUCGUCUAUGACAAGACCUCCCUGUGCGCUGGGUUUUUGGCAGAGAUAAGAAGCGUGGAUGUCGGUGAUGAAGCAUCCGAACAAGAAGCUCAAGAUCUUGGUAAAGAUUCUGGUAUUAAUUUUUUCUUCUAUAUAUGAACCCUUUUUUUCCUUCACACAAUUUAUUUCUUUAAUUCAAUUAUUUUUCAUCCACAUAAUUGCUAAUCUAUACAGCUCAGUCUAUGGUUCAGAUCUUCUCUAUUAUAACUAGAUAUGUUUUUUUGUUUCCUAGUUCAAGGGCACAAUGGUAUUUAAAAAAGUUGUACAGUUGAUAGAGUGUCUUACAUUCAUAAAGUGUCUAUUUGUGUAAACUAAAACUAAAAAGUGUCUGAGAGUGUAACUCUCUUCUACUUUUAAGGCGAUUUCCUAUUUGGGUCUCUCAUCGGUUAUUUUCUUUUUUAAAAAUCUCUUCUCCACUAAGCGUGUGAGACAAAUAAUUACUGCCCCAUUGGCUACAGUAUUUUCCCAAUCACAUAUUUCCUUUUCUUUUUGGAAAUUAAUUUCUUGAUCUCCCAACAUCUCGUUCUUCCCCUUUUCUUCUUCUGUCUUUCCAAAUUCAAUAACCUAAAUCUCUUCUGAAUUCUGUGCUAUUAAUGGUGAUUGUUCGUCAAUUACGCUUGACCUCUUACCCCUGAUUUCACAGCCUCGCCGCAGUUCAGCUCUUGCCUUCGUACUUUCAACCGGAGAUAUGGCUGACAUGCUACACAAAGCUAUUGGAGCAAUGUCGAUUGAAGAGGAAACACCACUCACGCUACCCAAUGAACCAAGAUUUAGGGUUAUUGAUGAGAAUGAACUUAGUAUUCUGGGACGUCUGUUGAACUCAGAGUGUCAAUCCAUGGCGAGAAUGAUUUACUACAUGCCUACUGCCUGGAGAGUCUACGGGCGUGUUCGUGGAAUUGCGUUCUCUAGGGACCGCUUUCAGUUCGUUUUCCAACGAGAAGAGGAUCUGGUUACUGUGCUGAAGGAUAGACCCUGGUCCUAUAAUCAUUGAGGUAUGACCCUAGAGCACUGGACAGCAAACCCCCCGGAGAAGUUCCUGCAGACGAUGGAGAUUUGGAUUCUUAUGCGGCAUAUUCCACUGAUCUUCUACACCAUUGAUACGAUGUACACCCUAGCCUCAGAGAUUGGCAAGGUAGAAGAAAUUGCUUAUGAUCCGAAAAUCUCGCAAACUAAGGAUUACAUCAGGGCACUAAUUACCUUUGAUGUCGAUAAGCCGGCGAAAGCAACGCGUGUACUGAAUGUUUCAAAGGGAGGUUCACGAUCGAGUUCGAGUAUGAGAAGAUUCAUAAUGUUGUUUCCACUGCCUCCGACUCACUCAUGAGAAAAUCCGGUGUCCUCUCCUUAGGAAAUGCUCUAUUAAGGAGAAACUUCAACUGCCUGAUUUUCAAGCUCCUUCUCUAAAAGGCAAAUAAUUGGUAGUAGCUCAUCCUCGUAAUCAGCUAGAUGGCCCUCCUGGAUUUCCCCCGUUAUUCCCGGAACUGUCUAAACAUGAGCAACAGAUGGCCCUCCUUUACAUCUCUCAUGCUGACGAAACAGAGAGGAGAGCAAGAAUUGAGAGAGUUAGACAGGGUAUUGCUGAGAAUGCUGCUGAUGCUGCAGUGCGCAUUACUAAAAUCACCAGUGAUAUCAACAAGGGUAAAGGUCAUGUGUUUGAGUAUCAAAGCCUAGAUAAGAGCACCUCUCACUGGAAACAGACAAGAGUAUAUGAUCUAUGGUGGAACACAAGAACCCCUUUGACACACUCGAAAGAGAAGCUGAAUCUUCAGACACUAGUGGAGUAGCUAUCUCUGCACCAGCUGCAGUGUGUGCGGAUUUUCAGUUGGGCCCUUCAUCUGGAGGGCGAGUCUCAGGAAUCUCAAACGCAAAAAAGAACCAAAGAAAAUGACCUCCUUCAUGGAAAAGAAAACCUGGCACCAGAUCGUCUGGCACAUUAAGCGAGUCCUCUCUUGCUCACACCUCACUACCAAGCAAGAAAAUGAAGUCUUCUCCUCCACCUUCCUCCUCGGAUCACAAGUCUCUAAAAAUCACAGAACCUACGGUGGCUAUCGUAUUGAAGCCGCUGCCUCCCCAAUGAGCAUUUUGAGUUGGAAUUGUCAAGGUGCUGGCAGUACCGAGACAAUUCAGAGAUUAAGGGAGAUGCGCCGGGUGCAUUUUCCGGAUUUCAUAUUUUUGAUGGAGACUAAACAAAAGAAUAAGUUUAUGGGUGAUUUGCAACGUGAACUGGGAUAUGAUAACUUGAUUAAAGUGGAGCCGGUGGGGUUGAGUGGAGGCUUAGCUGUGAUGUGGAAACGAUGUUACAAGGUUAUUGUGUUACAAGAGGACAAGAGGAUCAUUGAUCUUCAAGUCGAAAUGGGUUCAUUGGUCUUUUAUCUCACCUGUGUCUACGGGGACCCUGUGAAAGAAAGAAGACAAGCUGUUUGGGAACGUCUAAGUGACAUAGGAGCGAGGAGAGAUGCACCAUGGAUGUUAGUUGGUGAUUUCAACAAACUGCUUAGUAAUGAAGAGAAACUCGGAGGGGCUGUUCGCAGUGACUCUUCCUUUUGGGAUUUCAGAAAUCUGGUAGACAACAAUAAAAUCAGAAAUAAGAGAAUCUCUGGAAACCCUCUAUCGUGGGCAGGGAAGAGAGACAAUGCAUGGGUGCAAUGUAGGCUUGACCGUUGCUUUGGUAAUGAUGAAUGGUACCGACUCUUCCCUCGAUCUCAUGUGGAAUAUAUGGCCAUGUAUGGUUCUGAUCAUAGACCUUUGAGGAUUGGAUUUGCACUGGAAAUUGAUGGAGCUGGUAGAGGUAGAUUCUUCUUUGAUAACCGUAUGGUGGGUAAAGAAGGCGUGGAGGAUGCUGUUUGCAAAGGGUGGUGCAAGGAAUUGUCGGGUCGACAUGUCGACAUCCUAGAAAGGAUUGGAAACUGCAGGAGGGAACUAGCGAAGUGGAAAAAACGUUCCACAAGCAACGCAAAAGUCAACAUGCAGCGCCUGCAAGUUGAGUUGGAGAGACAGAUUUGUAAAUCUCAUCCUAAUGCGGGAAAUCAUGAUUGAAUUGGGUAAAGCUUAUAUAGAGGAGGAAAUUUUCUGGCGCCCGAAAUGCAAAGAGCAGUGGCUUCAAGAAGGGGACUGGAACACUUGUUUCUUCCAUAAAUGCGUCAAAGGAAGGAAGUCUAAAAACAAGGUUCUCAUGCUCCGUGAUGACCAAGGUAUAGAACAUUAUUCCGAGGGAGCAAAAGGCCACAUAGCUGCUAAGUUUUAAAGAGACCUCUUUAUGAGCUCUAACCCUUUCGAUCUCUAGAGCAUUUUAACAGGCUUCGCAGAGAGAGUCACUCCAGACAUGAAUGAUAUGUUAUGUAAAGAGGUCUCAGCUGAGGAAAUACGCAGAGCAGCCUUUACAGUCCGAGGAAGCAGUGCUCCAGGAGAAGACGGACUUACUGGUACGUUCUACCAGAAAUACUGGCACAUAGUUGGUUCUCAACUGAUCACCGAGAUUAAAGGCUUCUUUCAAAGCUCUGUUCUUCCUCCGGGUUGGAACCAUAUGCAGAUGAUUGGUAUGAGACCGAUCAGUUUAUGUUCAGUUCAAUACAAACUAAUCUCCAAGAUUGUUUGUGAUAGAUUGAAGUGUAUUCUCCCUGACAUUAUCUCAGACAACGAAGGAGCCUUUGUUCAAGGUCGUCUCAUCUCCGACAAUAUCAUAAUAGCACACGAGUUUGUACAUGGUCUGAGAACUAAUGACUCGGUAGCUAGGGACUUCAUGGCGGUUAAAACUGAUAUGUCGAAGACAUACGACAGAGUGGAAUGGUGCUUUAUGGAGGAACUACUCGAGAAGUUGGGGUUUAACAGAACUUGGAUUUUUUGGAUUAUGGAUUGCAUUACGUUUGUUUCCUACUCAAUUUUGCUCAACGGUAGAUCCCAUUGAUUUAUUAAACCGGAGCGGGGAAUAAGACAAGGCGAUCCAUUGUCUCCAUUCCUCUUUAUCCUCUGCGCUGAGGCUUUAGUUAGCAAACUAAACCACUCAGAGGAAAACGGUCGUCUAACAGGGAUUGGGCUCUCUUCCAAUGGUCCUCAGUUUCAUCAUCUGUUAUUUGCAGAUGAUAGUCUGUUAAUGUGUAAAGCUAAUGCCCUGGAAAGCAAGGAAGUUAUGGACUGUCUUAAGGCGUAUGGGAAUGCUUCGGGUCAGCAGAUCAAUCUGCAGAAGUCCUCAAUUAUCUUUGGUUCUCUCAUUCCUGACUCAACCAAAGACCAAGUUAAACUAAUCUUGGGUAUUGACAAGGAAGGGGGAGAAGGCACUUACCUGGGUCUUCCGGAGUGUUUCAAGGGUUCAAAAAGAGACCUUCUGAGCUUUAUACGAGAGAAGCUUCAAUCAAGGAUCCAUGGGUGGUUUGCUAAAAUGCUGUCGCUUGGAGGGAAGGAGAUUUUACUCAAAUCUGUAGCUAUGUCCUUGCUAGUAUAUGCAAUGUCUAUCUUUAAGUUGCCGCAUGACGUUUGCACAAAAAUAACAAGUGCCAUGACUGAGUUUUGGUGGGGAGGAUGUAACGGUAAAAGGAAAAUCCCUUGGGUAUCUUGGAAGAAGAUGUGCAAGCAGAAGAAACAUGGCGAUUAAGGAUUCCAUGAUAUCAUCAAAUUUAACCAACCUCUUCUGGGGAAGCAAGCGUGGAGGAUCAUGAGUAACCCAACCUCACUUGUUGCGCGGGUCCUCAAGAGUAAGUACUUUAAAAAUGGUGAUUUUCUACAUAGCACUCUUGGUCCGCGCCCCUCAUACACAUGGAGAAGUAUCUUGUACGGCAGGGACUUGCUGAGCAAGGGUCUUGUCAGAGACAUUGGCAACGGGGAACAGUCUACUGUAUGGUCAGUUAACUGGAUCAUUGACCCUACUCCGAGAACUUCUAACUACAGACCUAACAGUGUUAUUGACUUGACCCUGAAGAUCUCUGGUUUGCUAUUACUCAACUCCUCUUCGUGGGAUGCAACGCGAGUGAGACAAGCCUUUACGGAUCAUGAUGCUGAUAUCAUCCUUCGCCUGAGGCUAAAAGGUAACCAAGAAGAUGGGUACAAAUGGGGUUUUACUAAAGAUGGAGUGUAUACGUCGAGAAGUGGCUACAGGUUUUUAGAUAACCUCCCAAAUGAGAAUGGACCCCCUCAACCAACUCUAUCACCUCUGGAGAAGAAACUGUGGAGCUUGCUAUGGAAGAUUAAAGCACCCCCAAAAAUUAAACACUUUUUAUGGAAAGCUCUAUCAGGGACUUUAGCGGUCACGGACAGGUUACAAAGCAGAGGACUCGAUGUAGAUACUACAUGUAGAGUGUGCAAUGGUGGGAUUGAGACGAUAUGUCAUCUCUUUUUCACGUGUCCUAUGGCUAAGGACACUUGGGGAAGAGCUUCUAUUAAGCUACCGAAUGCAGGUUUCUCCACUAACUUUGUUUUUCUCAAUAUCUACCAUUUAUUGGAGCAAAGUAAGAAAUUCCCCAAGGACUUGAAUAUCGCCUCGUUCCCCUGGAUCCUCUGGCAUUUGUGGAAGGCUAGAAACGGUCUGGCUUUCGAGAGAAUCCAGUACUCCUCAUUAUUUGUGAUCACAAGAGCGAAAGAAGAAGCAAACGUGUGGUUUGAGAUUAGUUUUCCAAGAGUAGAGGAGCCUCAGCCACCUCUUAGAGCUCAAGAAACCAGUGUAUCAUGGGUUAAACCCCGAACAGGGUUUCGGAUAUGCAAUAUAGGAGUCUCAUGGAUAAGUAGACAUGUGAACUGUGGAGCGGCUUGGAUCCUACGUGAUGACAAAGGAAGAGGUAUCCUUCACAGCCGCCGUGCUUUCUCUAAUGUUGAGUCAAAGAGAGAAGCUGAACUUCUAGCUAUGCAAUGGGCAGUUAGAGACAUGGUUAGCACCCGCCAACCGAGGAUUGUUUUUGAAUCUUCUUGUGACCAGGAAAGAGACACAUUCAUGAAUCUACCAUCAUACGUGGAGCACCCCUCGGUUGUCAACGAGAUACUUCUCCACCUUCGUUCACUUCACGAUGGAGCUUUCACCACUGUGUUCGAGAGAAGAAUUCUAUUGCUCAGAAUAUUUCUGUAAGUGUUACUGCAGAGCAGCGAUACCACUCUUACAUCGCUUGUGGUGGUCCGUCUUGGAUGUUAAGGUUGAUUGAAAGUGAAGCUGGAGCAUAGAGGCUCUAAAACCCAUUCCUCACCCUCAGCGUGGCUUCUGAAUUAUGUCUCUUGGAGUUAGAUGUCUACUGACAUCCUUGUUUUCUUAUGUUUUAUGAACCUUCUUUUCUUUUUAUGUUAUUGUUGGGAUAGUCCCAUCCUGGAACCCCUAUGGGUGUACUUAUGUGAACCGCUUUUAGUUCCUUUUGAAGUUAAUCCAAUCAGUGUUAAAAAAAAGACUUGGGAUUCCAUUUGUCUUUUUUUCUUAAUUUCUUUUGUCGUCCAUUGUUUUUCUUAAUUAGACACGCCAUUUUUAUGGUUUCAUUAAGUUCAUAUCUCCAUUGUCAUCACAUCACCAGGUAUGAACUGAAGAUCUCUCAGCCCAAUAUUCAGUCGACUUUGAUCAUUCUUAUUCAAGUUCACUAAAAUACAAACAACGCCUUUGUCAUUUUGAAAAGUCAUUUAGUCCAUCUAGUAAUUAUCGUAAGUGUUGGAUAUGGGCCUGAUUACCCGUCCGCGCCCACGAGUUAUUGCCAUGAAGUAAUUAUCGUAAGUGUUGGAUAUAGGCCAGAGUACCCACCGCACCCACGAGUUAACCCGGCCCAAGAUCAAGCCAUAACGUCCGAAGGAAGAAAGAAAAGUUAAGCGCAGAUAAAAACUCAGACGCAAGAACGAUCAUUUCCACUCGUCAGAGCAACUCUGACACACGCAAUCUGAAAGUCAGAUACUACAUGACGCAAGGUCUACCACGAUGCCGAAUGUAGCUGCCAACGCAGAAUUGAAAUGCUAGCUACGCGGAGCAGGUGGAGCUCGAGGUCGACCAUAUGUAUAUUUUGUGGUUUAAACCUAAGUACUAUAUGAAUAAAAGUUUUUAAAACUGUUUGGAUUCCAUACAGUGACGGACCCAGAAAUGAAUGAGACUGGUGUAAAAAAUAAUUAAAAGGUCACAUGUAGGCGUCAAACCCUGGUUUAUGUGGGGUCAUACUCCAAACUUUACCAACUCUGCUGUCCAAUCUUUACUGUUGUCUUGUACAAAACAAAAUUUUAUCAUUUUUUUUUGUGGUGUCAGGUGACUCCACAGCUCUUCAAGUGAAUCCGCUCCUGAUUCCAUAUGAUAUUAGUCCUAUUUCGGCAUGAACCAACAAACAAUUUUAAAUUCGGGUUGCAAAGCAUUAACUUGGAACCACUAGCAAUCCAUUUCUUGGACAUUUGACAAUGGGAUUUUGGAUUUGAUCUAGUCGGCUUUCGUUUGGAUUGGUUUCGAGACCGAGAUCAUGAGCUUCUUGAUAUUGUCUCCUCGUGCUUCAAGUACGGAAGACUUGGGCCAAUUGUUGUCUCUAGCUCUUUUAUUUUAUAAGGCUUUCACGGGUUUUGUCAAGAUUUGGGCAAACAAUUACUCUUUAUAUUUUACAAAGAGUCAUUUUUUUUUGUUAUUAGACAAGGAGUGUUAUUUUGUAAUUCCAAUUUAUACAUAAUUUCAGUUUAAUAUUAAUGGCAUUGAUCCAUAUGACAAAAUAAUAAUUACAUUGAUCUUUUAAAUAAUUUUAUUUAUCUAUAAUAUUAUUGGUUAAAUAUGUAUAAUUAAUAAGAAAAUAAAUUUAUUUCAAUAAUUUUUCUUAUUUUGAGUAAGAAGUGUAAAAAUAAAAUUCUUUAUGAAGCAAGAGAAUAAUAAAUUCAGAUUUUAUCUUGAGAAAUUGCUUGAAAUACACUAAGUUAGAUACCAUUUUCAAAUUUCACUCAGUUAAAAAUACAAUAUUUAAGUUUAGAGUUUAGUGAUUAUUAUUUAGGGUUUAGUAUUUAGAGAUUGAGGUUGGAGUUUGAUAUAAAAAUUCUAUAAAUAAAUUUUAAAUAUUUAUAAAUAUUUAUAAAUAAUUUAGAAUAAAUUUAAAUAUUUAUGAAAAUAAAUAUUACUUAAAGAAAUUUAAAAAAUGAUAUCAAAUUUAAGAUCAAAUUUAAAUUUUAUUUUAUUUUUGUAUGCAUGGUGCCAAAAACUUUCUAAUAUACUGAAGUGGGACCUCUUUUUGACUAUUGACAUGACCAUCUGCAAUCAUAUACCGCUGAAGAUUUUUGUAAACAUUUUUUUUAUUGGGGAGAAAAACCUGAGCUUUAGGGUUCGAUUGGUAAUGGCUGUAGCUUUAAAAUUUUUGCUGUAGAAAAAAAUCUGUAGAUUUUUUGCUAUGGCUUUAGAUUUUAGUGCCGUAAAAUUUUAUGGAAAGCAAUAAAAAAUUGCUUUGGAUAUUUGGCUCUGUAGAGCACUUGUACAACUGUAUGUUAUUUCAAGAGCUGUGGUUUCAAAAAAAAUUUAAAGCUUGAUUGCUCUGAAUUUAGUGCUGUAGAAAUAAAUAGGGCUGUGGACAGCACCUACAGCAACUACUAAUCACCAACUUAUAUGUGGUAUCGCUUUUUUAAAAUAUAAGUAAAUUUACUAAUUAAGAAAACAUAUUUAAGAUAAGAAUAUUUUGUGGUUGGAACCUGGUAUCUCACCGGUGAGGUUAUCCAAACUGAGUGAAUGAAAACCUUCUAUAACACCCCGACCAUUCACGGUUAAUGGACACCCAUGCUCGCUCACUCCGUCCGUGGGUCCCAUUCCAUCUGACGGACGGUGCGUUAAUAUUUCAAUGCCCGAAGACUUUUUUACUGAUCCUACAAUGACAUUUUCCGUAGUCUGGUCUUAUUUACACGGUAUCGCGAAUCACUUCCUGAUAGGUCACUCAUACUUUUACUACUCCAACCCAAGCACGCUUAACCCUGAAGUUCUAAACGGAUGUGUGACGGAAAAGAUAAGUCAACUUUGGUGACAUAGGUAUCCAAAUCAAUCCUCUUAAGCCUUUCCAUAUAUCACAACUCACGAUGUUACAAUUCACCUCCUCUCAAAGAACGCAACGUCCUCGUUGCGCCCCACAACAAGUCUCAAGACGUCUCUCUGGUCAGAACCGAGAUGGCUAACAAGCUCUGAUACCACUUAUAACGCCCUGACCGCUCACGGCUAAUGGGCACCCACACCCGCUCACUCGGCUCACGGGCCCCAUCCCAUCCGACUGACAAUGCGUUAAUUUUUCAAGGCCCAAAGACUUUUUUACUGACCCUUCAAUCACCACAUGACCUUUUUUUGUGAUUUGGCCUCACUCAUACGGUAUCACGAAUCACUUCCCGAUAGGUCACCCAUCCUUUCACCACUCCAGUCCAAGCACACUUAACCCUGGAGUUCGAAACAUAUGUGUGACGAAAAAGAUAAGUCAACUUUGGUGACAUAGAUAGCCAAAUAAAUCCUUUUAAGCCUUUCCAUAUAUCACAACUCGAGAUGUUACACUUUCGUUAUUAAUUUAUUUUCUAACGCAAACUACAAUGCAAAGUGGACCGAAAUCUACCUAUCAGCUUUAGCUUACCGAAAGUUUCUAUCUUUCGCUCACCAUGGGGGGGGGGGGGGGGAAACACUGAAAUGUCUCUUUUGAUAGUUAACGUGUGAAGGAUAUGUUCGAACUUAAUGAGAAUAUCACGGAAGUUAAGAGGCAAAUGGUAGAUCUCGAAGCAACUUAAAAAUGAAGUGAAGAAAAAGGUUGAGAGGGAGGAAAGGCUGCAUCGACAAAGGCACUCGGUUGUUGGGGUAUGGCUUACAAGUGUGGAGGACGUCCAUACACGGUUCAAGAAACUGGAUAGUACAAGUGCCAUUGAGCUUGAAAACUUGUGUUUAUGCGACUUAUGCUAAAAUUUUUAUGGUUUAGCUACAUAUAUGGGAAAAUGGUGUUCUUGUUGUCUGAAGAGGUUAAGAAUCUCAGAGGGGAGAGUAAUAAUUUUACAGAGUUUAUUGUUCCGACUUUGAAAUCUGUAGUGGAAGUGAGGUCUACUCGGGCUACGAUUGGUCAGGAAGAAAUGUUCGAAAAUGGAAUGGGCGGUGUAUGCAAAACUACACUUCUUAAGAACAUACACAAUAAUUUUGCUGAAAUGGAUGUGGACCGUGGUGUCUCAAGAUGCAAAUACUUUAAAGGUUCACAUCAUUUUGUGCUUUAUAAAUAAAAAACUUAAAUCAUUUAAAUUGGACAUAUAAUUUUUUAUUACAAUUUUAACUAUUUUUAAGAAAAAAUGUUUAUAUUUUUACAUAUGUUAUAAAACUUAUACUUGGUCUAAAUAUUUAACUUUACUUAUUAAUUAUUAUUGUAUAUUUUUUUAAAAAAAAUCCAAAAUUAAUUAUUAUUUUUUAAUAAAUAUUUUUGUGAAAUAAAUUAGAUGGAUAUAAUGUUUAUUUUAGAAAAAAAAACUUAAAGAAGUUAUUAUAAAUAUAAAAAUUAAAUAAUUAUAUUAUUAGGUGGAAAAAAGAAGAUGAUGUGAAACACUGAAAUGUCUCUUUUGAUAGUUAACGUGUGAAGGUUAUGUUCGAACUUAAUGAGAAUAUCACGGAAGUUAAGAGGCAAAUGGUAGAUCUCGAAGCAACUUAAAAAUGAGGUGAAGAAAAAGGUUGAGAGGGAGGAAAGGCUGCAUCGACAAAGGCACUCAGUUGUUGGGGUAUGGCUUACAAGUGUGGAGGACGUCCAUACACGGUUCAAGAAACUGGAUAGUACAAGUGCCAUUGAGCUUGAAAACUUGUGUUUAUGCGACUUAUGCUAAAAAAUUUAUGGUUUAGCUACAAAUAUGGGAAAAUGGUGUUCUUGUUGUCUGGAGAGGUAAAGAAUCUCAGAGGGGAGAGUAAUAAUUUUACAGAGUUUAUUGUUCCGACUUUGAAAUCUGUAGUGGAAGUGAGGUCUACUCGGGCUACGAUUGGUCAGGAAGAAAUGUUCGAAAAUGGAAUGGGCGGUGUAUGCAAAACUACACUUCUUAAGAACAUACACAAUAAUUUUGCUGAAAUGGAUGUGGACCGUGGUGUCUCAAGAUGCAAAUACUUUAAAGGUUCACAUCAUUUUGUGCUUUAUAAAUAAAAAACUUAAAUCAUUUAAAUUGGACAUAUAAUUUUUUAUUACAAUUUUAACUAUUUUUAAGAAAAAAUAUUUAUAUUUAUUUUUACAUAUGUUAUAAAACUUAUACUUGGUUUAAAUAUUUAACUUUACUUAUUAAUUAUUAUUGUAUAUUUUUUAAAAAAUCUAAAAUUAAUUAUUAUUUUUGUGAAAUAAAAUAGAAGGAUAUAAUUUUUAUUUUAGAAAAAAAAACUUAAAGAAGUUAUUAUAAAUAUAAAAAUUAAAUAAUUAAAUUAUUAGGUGGAAAAAAGAAGAUGAUGUGAAACACUGAAAUGUCUCUUUUGAUAGUUAACGUGUGAAGGUUAUGUUCGAACUUAAUGAGAAUAUCACGGAAAUUAAGAGGCAAAUGGUAGAUCUCGAAGCAAGUUAAAAAUGAGGUGAAGAAAAAGGUUGAGAGGGAGGAAAGGCUGCAUCGACAAAGGCACUCAGUUGUUGGGGUAUGGCUUACAAGUGUGGAGGACGUCCAUACACGGUUCAAGAAACUGGAUAGUACAAGUGCCAUUGAGCUUGAAAACUUGUGUUUAUGCGACUUAUGCUAAAAAAUUUAUGGUUUAGCUACAAAUAUGGGAAAAUGGUGUUCUUGUUGUCUGAAGAGGUUAAGAAUUUCAGACGGGAGAGUAGUAAUUUUACAGAGUUUAUUGUUCUGACUUUGAAAUCUGUAGUGGAAGUGAGGUCUACUCGGGCUACGAUUGGUCAGGAAGAAAUGUUCGAAAAUGGAAUGGGCGGUGUAUGCAAAACUACAUUUCUUAAAAACAUACACAAUUAUUUUGCUGAAAUGGAUGUGGACUGUGGUGUCUCAAGAUGCAAAUACUUUAAAGGUUCACAUCAUUUUGUGCUUUAUAAAUAAAAAACUUAAAUCAUUUAAAUUGGACAUAUAAUUUUUUAUUACAAUUUUAACUAUUUUUAAGAAAAAAUGUUUAUAUUUUUACAUAUGUUAUAAAACUUAUACUUGGUCUAAAUAUAUAACUUUACUUAUUAAUUAUUAUUGUAUAUUUUUUUAAAAAAUCCAAAAUUAAUUAUUAUUUUUUAAUAAAUAUUUUUGUGAAAGAAAAUAGAUGGAUAUAAUGUUUAUUUUAGAAAAAAAUUUAAAGAAGUUAUUAUAAAUAUAAAAAUUAAAUAAUUAAAUUAUUAGUUAAUCACCACCAAACCACAAGCCCUGGUUAUAGAGAGCAUUAUCAUCGUAGAAGAGUAGGAUUUCUACUAGGGAGAUGGACAACCCAUGAUCUCCUCCGGUAAAAAACCGUCGUAGCUUAAGGUCGAAAAACCAGUCAACUGUCAGAAACUAGGACAUUUAUUAACUGACAAAAUGGAAAUAACUGCCAAAUCGCUAAAAGAAAAUCGCCUUUAAAAACAUUAAUGUUGUUUACAACUUGAAUCUAAAGUAGGUUUAUGUAAUAUGUGUCCCCUCUACUAUCCAAUAAUAUAUCAGACUAAAUUCGGACAUAACAAAGCAAUAAAUUUUUCAAGUCUCUAAAAUCAGCCGCCAAGUUUUCAAGUUUCAGAUCUGGGCCUCUUCGGUGACUGGUGUUUCUUGCCGGCGCCGGAGAGGUCCCCAUCCUCUUUCUUUUGCUUUUACUUCUUACGUUCAUAGUUUUGAUCUGUGUCGGAGUGUGUUUCUUUUCAGUGGUUAUUAACUCGGUCUUGGCUUACCGUUUCAACGGUGCUCAAGAGUGUGGUGUUUCAUUGUCUAUUUCUGAUGAGUUUCAUUCCUUGGUGGCUCUCUUCCUUCCCAACAGGUUGGUGUGAUUCAUUGUGAAGAUAUUUGUAGAACCUAAAAUCUACACUAAAUAUUUGAUAGUGAUCGGGGUUUGAUCUAGGGAAGACAAAUGAUGUAGGCAACGAUAUUUUUAGAACACAACGAUGUUAAACAGUUUCCAGUACGUAAAAAUAGAAUUUAUUGAUGAAUAAGAUCGAAUACAAUGAGUUGAACUAGAUCGAGUGAUACAAAUGAGAUCCGUAAAGAAAGAAUCUAAGAUUGUGAUGAAAACAAGGUCGAUGUAAGUGUGUAGCUCUCUCUAGGGUUUUCAACGUGUCUUCCUUCAUGUCCCUUCUUCUUCCUUAAUAGUGUGUCGACCUCGGGAUCUUCGUAACUGCUCCACGAUCUCCGGGGCUACUCAGCGAUCUCCGGGACCUCGAAGUCUUUGUUUUCGAGCCCAAUUGCUUGCUAUGCGCUUUAGUUCCUUACGGGCCAUAUCUUUGGUCGCGCCCCAUUAACGUACUGACCGAAAUUGGGUCCAACAAUAUUGGCUUGUCGUCUUUCGUGGUGUAGACAUCUUGUUUUGACAGUUGAUUACAAUCAGUCUCGUUUGUGGUCCCUCAUGACUUUUGGUAGCGUUGUAGCUUUGUUUUAGCAGUUGGACUUGCAAAGCUUUGGUUUUUUCUUUAUCUUUCUACUGUUGGUUUCGUUCUGGUUUUGCUUGUUACUCAGUUUGAGCUGUUGUGGUAAGUUGGAUGAAUUGCACUUGUGGCUUUGCCAAGGUCUCUAUAUACCUUAGGGAUGAUGGUUAAGCAAGAGAUUCAUUAGCGCCUUUAUCCCAAUAUACUUUUAUGUUUGCACUUUUGACAUGCUGGUUGGAUUUUUUUCUCUAGUAUCUAGUUAUGUUGAAGAAGUUGUGUCUAAGAGGAGUGCUCUAUCUUGGGAUUGGUGCAAUGGUUCGGUCAUGGUGUUGACAUCGUUAAUUUUAAUUUCUUGGCUGAGUUUCUCCGGCUUCAUAAAUCGUUUUUCUCUUCGUAUUCGUCGGUUGAUUUCCAAGUUUGGAUUUGAAUUAGAAAAGCUACAAGGUUUUGAGGUUUUGUGCCACGGUAGUUCUGUAUUCAGCUGCAUUUUAUCUCGUGACUAUCCACUGCAUCGUGAAUGGUUGAUGUUUAUCACUUUCUAUUUUUUUGAAUGGUAACUAUUGAUAUCGAUCUAUCUUUUGAUAGCAAGUGUUUUUUUUUUAAUGGUCUAUGUGUAAUUUGGUCAUAAGCUAAAUGAUUAAAGGUUAAAAAAACAAAGCAAUAAAUACUCAAAAUAGUUUCUUAGUUACGAUGGAGUUGGAGAAAAAAACCCUAUAGAGUCAGUUAAAAGCAAGGGUGUUUGCGUAACUUCAUUCAAUGCAACGCCAGGACAUACGGAUAUUUUCGUCAGAAGCAAGAAACUGCAACAAGAAAAAUUCUUAAUUAUAUUUUGAAUUAAAAAUUUCAAAACGACCGACCGACCAAUAAAUAAAUAAAUAAAUAAAUAAGUAAAAUGUGAAAUUUGUGAGAAAACUUUCUUUACCAUUUUCUACUUUCUUCCCUCUGCUUCCGUGUCACUGUUUGAAUCUGAUUGUCUCUGUUUCCUUUUCACACGAAUCAGAUUCUUUAUCUUGACUAGAUUUUGAAAUCGCAACGGGAAGAAAUCUCGUCUUCUACAUGUUUAUAUCCCUUUUGAAUCUCUUCAAAAUCUCAAUCUCUCUCGUGUAGUUACAAUUCAGAUUUUAGCAGCUCCGAUUCACCUUUUUCAAUCGAUUUCGGAAGCUACGGAUUCGAUUCUGGAUUCAGAAUUCUAUUAUUCCCACGGGUUUGCAAGAAAAUCGAGUAGAACAUGGCGAAGCGUGGAUAUAAGCUGCUUAUCCUUAAUAGUUGGUUCUUUAUGUCGAUUCUGUUGAUUUUCUAAGCUUAAUUAAAUUGAAUAUAGCUCCGUCUUGAGAUUUUUUUCAUGUUUUUCUUUUUUUUCUAUUUUUAUCAGUGAAUCGUUAGGUUUUUAGGGAAAUUGCCAAAAAUAUCAUUUUCAAAGUACCACUUUCCAUUUUUACACUAACCACUUUUACCCUCAUUACAUUUAUAAUAUUUUGAUUAACUUUAACAAAAAAAAACAUAUGGUUAACUAAUCUAAACUUAAAAAUCAACUCUAAACCCUAAACCAUGAAACAUCAACCCUAAACCCCGAAACAUCAACUCUAAACCCUAAACCCUAAACCAUCAAAUCUAAACCCUAAAACAUCGACUCUAAACCCUAAACAUAAACCCUAAACCCUAAAUCUAAACUUAAAACAUCAACUCUAAACCCUAAAUUAUCAACUCUAAACCCUAAACCAUGAAAUAUCAACUCUAAAACCUAAACCCUGAAACAUCAACUCUAAACACUAAACUCUAAACCUUCAAAUCUAAACCCUAAACCCUAAAACCCUAAACUUUCAAAUCUAAACUCUAAAACAUCAACUCUAAACCCUAAACGUACACCCUAAACCCUAAAACCCUAAACCUUCAAAUCUAAACCCUAAAACAUCAACUCUAGGGUUUUAGGGUUUAGGGUUUAGAGUUUAGGGUUUAGGGUUUAGGGUUAAUUUUUUAGGGUUUUUAGGGUUUAGGGUUUAGUGUUGAUAGUUUAGGGUUUAGUGUUGAUGGUUUAGGGUUUAGAGUUUAAGUUUAGGGUUUAGAGUUUAGAGUUGAUGUUUUAGGGUUUAGAGUUGAAGGUUUAGGGUUUAGGGUUUAGAGUUGACGUUUCGGUGUUUAGGGUUUAGAGGUGAUGUUUCAGGGUUUAGAGUGUAUUUCAAAACGAAAUAGGGUUUAGGAUUGAUGGUUUAGGAUUUAGAGUUGAGUUUUAGGGUUUAGGGUUUGAAUUUCGAAAUAGUAUAAUUCGAAAAAAAUUUAAAUUUUUUUUUUAUUUUUUUAGAUUUUUAUUUAUUUAAAUAUUUAUGUAUUAUAUAUAUAGAAAACAAGGACAUAAGAUUCUUUUGCCAGUUAAUGUAUUUUUGAAAAUAUCUUUUUAGUGGUGGUAAAAAUGAAAAGUGGUAGCAUGAAACCGGUAAACACGUAAUUUUCCAGGUUUUUAUCCUAUAACCUCCAAAGAAAACAACUUUAGUUUAUGUUAGUUGAUAAAAUGCUGUUGAUGAGCUUCAAUUUAUUAUCAGCAUUUCAAUAAUUAAUUGUCUGCUUAACCAAAUCUAGAGUAUAAAUUAUUGUUUUUAAUUUGUGUUUUAUCUUAAUAUUACCUGGGUGUGAUUUGUCUGUGUUUGCUUUUGUUGAUCUGUUCACGUCUGAAACUUGGUUAGAACUUGACUUGAUUUGGGUUUCUUAGAGGAGUUUUUGGCACAUUCUGCAAACGUAAAUUGUCUAAGUAUCGGAAAGAAGACAUCAGGGCUCCUUAUAACUGGCGGUGAUGAUUACAAGGUCAAUCUUUGGGCCAUUGGCAAGCCUACUUCUUUAAUGGUAACCUUUCACUUUUUCUCUCUUCUCUACAUUUGUUCCCUCCUGUUUAUACCAUGAGUUUUUGUUUCUAAUAGUAUCUUGAACAAAAAAAAAAAUGUAAUGCUUCUAUGUUCUUUUCUUGUCGUGUUUGCAGAGUUUAUGUGGACAUGCUAGUGAAGUGGAUUCAGUAGUGUUUGACUCGGCAGAAGUUUUGGUGCUUGCUGGAGCUUCUUCGGGUCUGAUAAAGCUCUGGGAUUUAGAAGAAGCAAAGAGUUAGUUGAAUUAUUUUCUGCUUCUCCUUUAGAAUAUUUUGUUGUCUAGAUAUAAGAUACCGAUUAAGUCAUUGUCAGUGUGGAUUAUGUGUCCUGAGUCUCCUGACAUUUGAGCAGUGUACCAGACUAUAUCUAUAGUUUAUUUUAGAAUGAUGAGGUCUAACAUUUUCAUUCUUGCCCUUGAAGUGUAGUGGUUCGAGCUUUUACUGGACAUAGAUCGAGUUGUUCUGCUGUUAAAUUUCAUCCCUUUUGGUGAAUUUCUGGCAUCGGGAUCAAAUGAUACGAAUCUGAAGAUCUGGUACAUCAGAAAGAAGGGGUGCAUACAGACGUACAAGGGGCAUACCCGUGGCAUCGACACUAUCAAAUUUAGUCCUGAUGGACGUUGGGUAGUGACAGGAGGUCUUGACAAUGCUGUAAAGGUAAGAACUGCAUUGCUCAUCUUGUGCUUUGUCUUUUCUCGAACCUGUGUUCUUUUAACAAUAUGCUAUUGAUCGUAUCCAAUAGGUAUGGGAUUUGACUGCUGGAAAGCUUAUACAUGAUUUUAAGUUCCAUGAAGGAUCUAUCCGUUCGCUAGACUUCCACCCACUUGAGUUCCUCCUAGCCACUGGUUUGUCUGAAUCCUUUUAGUUUUAGGCAUUUUAGUGGUAAUUUGGUGGAAGCUUAUCACUACAAGAAAACAGCGGUAUUCUGACGGACAUUCCGACGGAAAAUGAAAUCCUCGGAAUAUACCGAGGAAUUUCCUCGGAAUAUACCGACGGAAUUCCGAGGGAACCUCAGUCCGUCGGAAUAUUCCGAGGAAAUUCCGAGGAACAAUGUGUUCCUCGGAAAAAACCAAUGAAUUCCGAGGAAAUAUUAUAGCCGUUGGAGAGCCGUUGGGGGAUUUUACAAAAUUCCGAGGAAAUUCCGACGAACUAGCCUUUUCCGUCGGAAUUCCGUCGGAAUUUCCUCGGUAUGUCGGCAGGAUUUAAUCUAUAUAUACAAGCACUCCUCUUCCUCUUCAUUCACUCCAUAUCUUCAUCCUCCCUCUUACUCUAUUUACACACGAAUUUGAUUCAUAAAAAAUAUGUCUUCUUCAAAUUAUUUUCGUUCUUGGAUCGAUCGACCUCAUUUGGAUCCGAACACGAGAUUGCUUACGGAAGAAUACCAACGAGGUAUAACCGAAUUCAUGGGGUUAGUUCACCGACAACCGGAAGCAAAAACAGGUAAGUUAAGAUGUCCUUGCUCUAAUUGUAAAAAUAGAAAGGUUAUUAAAGAGUGGGAUGUUUGGACUCAUCUAUAUUUGAGUGGGUUUACACGAAGUUACAAAAUUUGGUAUCAUCAUGGGGAAACUGAUUAUGAACAUGGUAGUACUAGCGAACCUCAGCCAGCAGUUAGAUUAGAAGAACCAAUUAGAACGGAUGUAGAUUAUGGUGUAGGUACUGAGCAGAUGGUAAAUGAUCAUUUUAGAGGGGAAGAUUUACCCAAUGCAGAAGCUAGGAGAUUUUAUGAUAUGUUGGAUGCUGGAAAGCAACCAUUGUACGAAGGUUGCAGAGAUGGUUAUUCAGCUUUAUCAUCUGCUACAAGAUUGAUGGGCAUUAAAACAGAUUAUAAUUUGGCUGAAGACUGUGUGGAUGCGAUUGCUGAUUUUGUAAAAGGUAUUCUACCCGAGGAUAAUGUAGCUCCUGGUUCAUACUACGAGGUUCAGAAACUCGUAGCUGGUCUUGGUUUAUCGUAUCAGGUAAUAGAUGUAUGCAGCGACAACUGCAUGAUUUAUUGGAGGGCGGAUGAACAGCGGGUUACAUGCAAAUUUUGUGGAAAGCCUCGUUAUAAAGAUACGAGUGGAAGAGUUCCAGUGCCAUAUAAAAGGAUGUGGUAUUUACCUUUGACGGAAAGGUUGCAGAGGUUGUAUCUGUCUGAACGCACAGCGCAACCAAUGAGAUGGCAUGCGGAGCACUCAACAGAUGGUGAGAUCAGACAUCCUUCAGAUGCAAAAGCGUGGAAGCAUUUCCAAUCAAAGUAUCCCGACUUUGCGUAUGAGAGAAGAAAUGUCUACCUUGGAUUAUGUACUGAUGGUUUUAGUCCGUUUGGCAAGAGUGGAAGACAGUAUUCUCUAUGGCCCGUCAUUCUUACACCAUACAACCUCCCCCCAAACUUGUGCUUACGACGAGAGUUUUUGUUUCUCUCGAUUCUCGUUCCCGGACCAGAGCAUCCUAAGAGAUCACUUGAUGUGUUUCUUCAGCCACUAAUAUAUGAGUUGCAACAACUAUGGGCUCAAGGUGCUGAAACAUACGAUGUUUCGUGUAAAAAAAACUUUCAAAUGCGGGCAGUACUAAUGUGGACAAUAAGUGAUUUUCCAGCAUAUGGUAUGUUGUCUGGAUGGACAACGCAUGGAAGGCUAUCAUGUCCAUAUUGUCAAGAUAACACUGAUGCUUUCCAACUAAAACACGGAAGGAAAACGUGUUGGUUUGACUGUCACAGGAGAUUCCUACCACCUGAUCAUCCAUAUCGUAGGAGUAGGAAUUUGUUUACGAAGAACAAGAGGGUGUUUGACAGUCCACCUCCGGAAAUUUUUGGGAAAGAUUUGAAGAUACAACUAAGAGAUUUUGGUGCAGAAAGGACGCCAGAAGUCGGUGGACAUGAGCGUUUUCCGGUAGAUGCUAUUGGAGAACUACAUAACUGGCACAAAAAAGUAUUUUCUGGGAUCUGCCAUACUGGGAGGAUCAUCUGCUAAGGCAUAAUUUAGAUGUCAUGCAUAUUGAGAAGAACUUUUUUGACAAUCUCAUGAACACGAUCCUUAAUGUUCAAGGUAAAACAAAGGAUAAUUUGAAGUCAAGACUGGAUUUAGUCGAUAUAUGUGCUCGUUCAGAACUUCAUGUUGAUGAAAAUGGUAGGGCUCCUUUUCCCAUAUACCGACUUGAUGCAGCGGGAAAAGAUGCGUUCUUUGAUUGGAUUUCAAACGAUGUGGAAUUUCCAGACGGUUACGCAUCAAAUUUGCGUAACUGUAUCGACAGAAAGGAAGGAAAGUUUACUGGCUUGAAAAGCCACGAUUGCCAUGUAAUGAUGAUGCGCCUCCUUCCGUUCGCCUUCAAGGAACUAUUACCACGAAAUGUUCAUGAAGCAAUUGCAGGGAUAAGUGGUUUCUUCCGCGAUUUAUGCACGAGAUCAGUGACUCUUGAAGGUAUUGAAAAUUUGAAGACUAACAUAGCCGUGAUUCAGUGCAACCUUGAGAAGAUAUUUCCUCCCUCAUUUUUUGAUGUUAUGGAGCAUCUUGUUAUUCACCUGGCAAGAGAAUUGGAACUUGGUGGUCCUGUGCAGUAUAGAUGGAUGUAUCUGUAUGAGCGGUAUAUGUUCCAUUUGAAGAAGAUGGUGAAAAAUUUAAGUAGGGUGGAAGGUUCUAUAGUCGCACAGAUGAUCAAUGAAGAAACUUCAAACUUUGCCGAGUACUGCUUUCCAGCAGAAGUUCAGACCAAAAACAGAAGACCUGCUCGGCAUGAUGAUAGAGGCGAACGGGCAGCAUAUCAUGUUACGGUUCCAGACAUUUUCACAGAUGUUGGACGACUUAGCGGAAAACCAAAGGACCGUCGACUUACUGAGCAGGAGCGCAGUCAUUUGCAAACAUAUUUGCUCACCAACUGCGAAGACGUUCUUCAAUAUGAGAGGUAAAUAAAUGAGCUUACAAAUUUUUAUUUUAACAAGUUGAAAUUUAAAUCUUAAUUAAUUACAUUAUUGUCAUCAUAUACAGGAUUUUCAUGGCAGAAAAGCGGUUCGAGUAUAGAUACGCCACAGAGGACGAACUAGAAGAAAUAAAGCAGAGAGAAUUUAGUGGAUGGAUGUUUACUUAUGUGAGUGCUUUAAACAAAUUAAAAUAUAUUUUAUCACAUAUUUAUACUAUUUCACAUUUAUUGAUAUAAUAUAUAUAUAUGUGCUAUUAAUAGGUGUCUGCUGGUUUGGCCAGAGGUGAAACAUUUGACGAUUGGAUACGUGAGAUGGUCGUUGGACCAAACUUUGUUGUGAAGUCAUAUCCGAGAUUUUGUACUCGAGGAUAUGCAUUCACAACUCAGAAGAGGAGACGUUCGAGUACGACUUAUGUGGCUGGCGUUUGUUCUGCAUCAGGAGAUGAUGUAUACUACGGACACAUACAUGAGAUUUUGGAAAUUAAGUAUUUGGGCAUGGUUGGAUUGCGCUGUACUGUUUUCUAUUGUGAUUGGCACGACAACACCCCAGAUCGAGGUGUGAGAACAGAUGCAUUUGGUGUUACAUCAGUAAAUUCGAGGCGAAAGCUGCAAUAUUAUGAUCCUUUCAUUCUUGCUUCUCAGGCCGAUCAGGUAAUUAAAUCUUAAUUAUUCAGAAUGAUUCAUCAUCAUGUGUAUUAAUUUAUAAUUUUUCUAAAUGUUACAGGUUUGUUAUAUCAAGUACCCCCGGGUAAGGAACAGAGAUGAUCCAUGGGUUACUGUUACAAGACUCAACCCGAGAGGCCGAGUUCAGGGAAGUUCUGAGCUGGAAGACCCACUACAACCAAGCACAUCCGGGAACUUAAGUUCAGCAGAAGAUUUAGCUGGAGUUGGCCUUGUAGUCGAUUUAACCGACUUUGGAGAGGAAGCCGUCGUUCACGUAGAGGAUGAACCAGUGAUUGGAGAGUUUCACGAAGAUCCAGAUUCAGAUUCAUCUGGUGAUGAUGACUCGGAAACAGACUACCAUUGAACUUAUUUAUUUUUUUUUUAAAGAAAUACCGAGGAAAUUCCGAGGAACACUUGAUAUAACCUCUUUCCUCGGAUAAUAGUUAUUUGGUUUAUCUAGCAAGGCAAAGCUGAAUACGAAUUAAAAACUACUCAGAACACAACCAAAUAAAAUGAAGAAACCAUGUAAAAGAAAUACGAACUCAUAAUUAAGAAACCCAAAAACAAACUCAGUUCAAAAUUAACAGAAAAUAAGACCAUAAAACGUUAGAAUAGAAAAGAAAAUAAAAUAGCCGGUGAUAGCUCCUACUCCUCGUCUCCUGCUCCAGAUGUUCCUGCAUCGUUGGGUCUCUUGGACCUCUUUCUUACCCUGUGUGUACCACUCAAACCCGAACCAGAGGUGGAUGGAGAGUUGUCCCGAUGAACUACAUCAUCCUUUUGGCAACGACACGGCCUGAUACGUGAAAUGGCAGCCCAGAUCUUGUGUAGCAUGUCGUUGUUUGUCUUUAUGCUCUGAUCUCUCCAAUGUUGUUGCUGGCGCGAAGUGGCAUUCGGUGGAAGCUCUUGCAGCUUGUACUGGCUGGAGUCUGAUGGGAGUAGCUGAUGGGGUCGUGAAUCAUCUGGAAUGGCUUGUGCAGCCUCAUCUUCUCCUUCUUCAUCAACCACGCCCUUGCCUUUGGUCUGAUAUUUUGGCGUGAAGAAGGAUGGCUUGUCUACUAGUGCGGUAACAGGGGGUAGGAACUCAACUGCAGCCUCUGAAAGUAGAGAAGUGAGACCGAUCUGAGGUAGGUGGCAGUAGAGUGUUUUCUUCGCUCGGUCCUGGAAUACGUAGACGUAAGGACCAUCCCGAUGGAUCCUCGAGUGGGGACCAGCUAUGAACUCCUUACUUACUAGAGAAAUGACAUCCAGGUAGUUCCAAGCAAUGUUGUUCGAUCUGUCCAGUGCUACCUGCUGGUUCUUGCAGUCUACACCCACAUGUCUAAGGAUCCGAGUAUUCACUGCACCAAAUCCACAUGCAUUGCUCUUUUUUUUGGUUACUUUCCCCUUGUAUCCUGCUAAGUUUGCGGCCAGCACAGCUCCCAUGUUGAAGGCAGUAGCAGGUGGGAAUGUAGAGUUUCCAAAUGCCGGUAGCAAAUGCCUCACACCUUGGUACAGGAGGCACAACUCCCAUUGCGUGACUGAUGCGGCUGUGGUUGUCCCGUAUAGCAAUGAGCCAAUGAGGCGUGUGGCAUAUCUCAGUACUGGGCUCCGGAUAAGUGACUCCUUUGCCUGAGAAGAUCUAUAAACCCCUGUGCCAAUCGUUUCCCAGAAGUUCAACAGCUCUGAAGUCCAAUAAAGACCAGAUGUCCUCUCCCCUGCACUCAAUCCAAAUAGUCUGCAGAGGUCUGUGAAAGAUACCUCAUAGUAUACUUUCUGCACUACGAAUGCCAGAAAACCUUCCUGAUGGCUAUCAUCGGGACGGGUGACGUAUGCGGAUGCUAUGAACUGGCGUACCAACUCCAGAUAAGUGGGUUCGUUGAGGUUGCAUAGUUGGCCUAGACCCAUGUUCUGGAACAGUCCUUCAAUGUCUGCUUGGAUUCCCAAUAUUGUCAUCGUCUCAGGACAUGCUAGUUGUGUAGCCGGAACGGCUACCUUCUUCAUGUUGUUGUAGUGGGUGGUAUCAGACUUAUCCCACUUCUUUGGCCUUUGCUUCUCUCGCUGAGACGAACUCUCUUCUUGUGUGUUCUUCUUUGCUGACAUUUUCGUGCGCUUCAUUCUCUACAAAAUAGAAUCAUUACUCUCAACAUGGUUAUAAUCAAUUAAGAACUCAAAGCAACAUGAAAAUGAAAAGCGAAAUCGAGUUGUGAUAAAAAAAAACCAAAUUGAAAAAAAUUCUCAAUCCCUAAAUCAUCUCAAAUCCUGUUCCAAACUCGUUGAUCACAGACAAUUGUGUUCUAUUCCAUGUUUAAACAUCUGUUUCAUGCAUAUUUGAUCAAGGAAUCAACACGGAAAUAAGAAAUUCACAAAACCCAAAAAAUUGCUCAAGAACACGAUUUCAGAAUGUGGAGAUUCGCGGAGUAUACCUGUCUUAGGGUGAAGACGAGUGUAGGAAUCAGGUAGAGCUCGAAAAAUCAAGUGGAAUGGAGCCCAAAAUUGUUCAAAUCGGAUGAUUAUAGAGAGAGAAAGGGGGGGCGAAUUAUAGGGGAAAUCGGAGGGGAUGAGAGUUCUAAGGUUUAGAUCCAGAAAAGGUCGGGUUUUGCCUUAUAAUUCUGUUUUCCGAACACGCAUCGAUCGAUGCGUUUUUGUUCUAUAACGUAUCGAUCAAUCACAAUCUUACGGCCCGAUCCAUCUUUGUAAUCGAUCGAUUUGUUUUUGUUCAGAAACGCAUCGAUCGAUGCGUUUUUAAAAAAACAUACAAGAUUUUCCGAGGACAUUCCGAAGAAAAAUUGAGAUUCUCGAUCGAUCGAUGGGAUACUCUCAUCGAUCGAUCACAAUCUUACGGCCCGGUCCAUCUUUGUAAUCGAUCGAUGCGUUUUUGUUCUAUAACGUAUCGACCAAUCACAAUCUUACGGCCCGGUCCAUCUUUGUAAUCGAUCGAUGCGUUUUUGUUCUAUAACGCAUCGAUCGAUGCGUUUUUAAAAAAAGCAUACAAGAUUUUCCGAGGACAUUCCGAGGAACAAUUGAGAUUCUCAAUCGAUCGAUGGGAUACUCUCAUCGAUCGAUCACAAUCUUACGGCCCGGUCCAUCUUUGUAAUCGAUCGAUUUGUUUUUGUUCAAAAACGCAUCGAUCGAUGCGUUUUUAAAAAAACAUACAAGAUUUUCCGAGGACAUUCCGAGGAACAAUUGAGAUUCUCGAUCGAUCGAUGGGAUUCUCUCAUCGAUCGAUCACAAUCUUACGGCCCGGUCCAUCUUUGUAAUCGAUCGAUUUGUUUUUGUUCAAAAACGCAUCGAUCGAUGCGUUUAUUUAAAAAAAAUUACGUUUUGAAACCCCAAACACUAGUUCCUCGGAAUUUCCUCGGAAUAUUCCGAGGAAAUUCCGAGGAAGAAGAGGGUUUCCUCGGAGUUCCCUCGGAAUAAUCCGAGGAAAUUCCGAGGAAAUAGGGUUUUUAAACUGAAAACAACGUUUUGCCGUUUGAAUAACACCUAUAUAACCCUUAUUAUGUGUCUUACGUUCAUUAUGAAGUCAAAAAUUUGUUCCUCAUUUAAAGGUAAAGGGAAGGGAGGAGGACAAGUAGAUCUUAUCCUGCGUGCAGUAAGUAUGAAGAAGAGAGCCAGGUCCAGAGUAGCGUGUUGACUCGAGUUCUUUAUUACCGUAUAAUUAACACUUUUCCGAUUGUAUGAACGAAAUCUCGCAACAUAAGACAAACACUUAUACCUUUUAAUGAACGGUAAAGGGAAUACUUUCAAUUAGUUUUGAAAUUUUUUAUUUCAUGGUUUAUGCUCAUCUAUACAAAGAAUCCUCAAUGGUAUGCAUUACAAUUGUAUAAGAAAUGAAAUACGGCAAAAAAAAUUGAUGUUUUGAAACCCCAAACACUAGUUCCUCGGUAUUUCCUCGGAAUAUUCCGAGGAAAUUCCGACGGAUAUUUUACUAUCCGUCGGAAUUUCCUCGGAAUAUUUUCAUUUUACCGGGCAAAUAUUUCGCGAAAAUUGAAAUUAGAAUUCCGACGGAAUUAUCCGUCGGACCCUAGGUUUUAUAACCACGAGUCACUUCUUCUUCCCCAUUUCUUUCUUCUUCCUCUACGCAAAUCCUCUCUUCUCUCCGGCGAUUUCCCCCUGAAAUCCGACGAUAUCUCCGGCGAUCUCCCUCUUCUCUUACACAAAUCAUGUAAGGACCCUAUCCCACUCUCUUAGGUUCUAUUUGUUAGGUUUUUGUGUGGUUUUGAUAGAUUUUUUUUAGGGUGAUUGGUUAGGAUUGUGAUUUGGUUGUAUAAUAGGUUUAGAAUUGUGAUUUGGUUGAAUGAUUUGUUUUGUUGAAUUGAUUUAGAAUUUUUUUAUAAUUUUUUUUUUCUAUUUAUAAAAUCGAUUUUUGUAUAUAAAAUCGAUUUUUGUAUUUUACAAAACGAUUUUUCUAUAUAAAUUCGAUUUUUUAGACUUUACAAAAAAAAAUUUCUAUAUAAAUUCGAUUUUUUUGGAUUUUACAAAACAUUUUAAAUAUCUAUAAAACUUUUUUUGUGAUUAAAAACUAUUAUUUGGGAUUUAAAAAUAUUUUUAAUAUAUAUAUAUUAUUAAAACUAUUUUUGUAAUUAUUAAACUAUUUUUAUUUAUUACAACUAUUUUUUGUUUAUUAGAACUAUUUUUAUAUAUUUAUUAAAAAAUUUAAAUAUAUAUAAAUCUUUUUUUGUGAUUAAAUUAUUUGGGAAUUUUUUUUUUUUUUAAAAAAUUAAUUUAUAUAUUUCUGUAUUUAUUAAAUAUAUUUUUUAAAUUUACAGGUCUCAUGAUGAUCAGACCCGACCUCGACAGCGUCGUGGUCAUGGUGGUACGGGGAGCCAGUCUCGGGAUUCCAGCCAUUUUCAGGAUUCCCCUUCGCCCCACAGCUCCAACCAUACAUCUCCCUCUGCUGCACCCGCUCCUGCUCCUCUCGCUCCCGCUGCUGCAUCCGCUCCUGUUCCUCCGGGUCCUCCGGGAGUGAUGCGUGUUGCGGAGUUGGUUCAACAGCCCGGUCAUGACCAUCUUCCGUAUCUCACUCCGUAUCCACAUGGACGGGGUCAAACAUGGUAAUUAAACAUUUUUUUUUCUUUAAAUUUGGAUUCAUUAUUAACUGUUUGUUCUUUUAAUAAGGUUCAACCGAUCCGGGAACGGGAUCAGCGCAUGGAUCAACCGUAUGAUGUACUCGGCCCUCGACAGUGGACAUCCGACUUUCACUCACUUCCCAACCGACAAGCAGGUUCUGUGGUUUCGUCAGUUUGCGGUAAGUAUUCUAAUUUUUUACUUAUAUUUUUAAUCUUUAAUAUAAAUUUUCUACUAAUUGUGUUUUUUAUUCAGCAAGAGUUCAACUGGAAUUCCGAUGAGACGCUCUUUAUCUAUCACCACUUCGUCCAUAAAGUAAUGAACAACUAUGGGAAGCAGAUCCACUAGUGGAAGAAGAAGUGGGAAAUCAAUAAGGUUCGAUUUAAUUUAUUAAACCAUUUUUUAAUUUAUUAAACUAUUUUUUAAUUUAUUAAAUUUUUCUUUAUUUUUUAUUAAAAGGUCCCAAAGUCGAUGAACGACACGGUCUGGAAGGAGUUGUGUGCGCAUUGGGAUAAGGAAGAGACGAAAGAAACUUCUUCCACCAACUCCACCAACCGCAAGAGUGACCGUAAAGGGAAGGGCAUCUACAAGCAUAACUUGGGUGCUCAAUCUAUUGCCACUCUCGGAGAUCGCAUGGUAAGUUCAACCGCUUUUUCUUCAAUUAUUUGAGUUUCAGAAUUUAAAUUUAUUGUGCAUUUCUUCUAAUUUCUAAUGUUUCUUUAAUUUAUGUUUUUUUCAAGGCGGAAGAAAAUGAUGGCGAGCCGGUUGAUGAUCUCGCCCUAAUGAGGAGGGCGUAUACCAACAAGAAGACCGGCCAGAUUGAUGACGGUCUUGUGAGGGACGUGGUCGACCUGGUCCAAACUCAGGUGGUAGACGAAGUGUCUCAGCUUCAAACCGAGGAUGACGCUUCGACGGCUUCGACCAACUUGUCUCGGUUUCGAAUCAACGAAAUCGUUGAAUCCGUAAGUUCUUUGUUUUUAAAAGUUCAAUUCAUUUAUUUCUUGGUUUAAAUUUCUAAAUUUGGCUUUUUUCUAUUCAGUCGGUUCCAAAGAAGAAGGGACGUUUGGUCGGUUUGGGUCGUCGCACCCGGUCGGUUCCCCCUUCUUCUGCGCCACCGCCCUUUGUUGAUCCAGAAGUACUUACGGCCCAGUUGAAGGACAAAGAUGAUCGUAUAUCUUUGUUAGAGACCCAGAUGGCGGCUCAACAGGCGGGCUAUGAGGCACAGAGGAGGCUGAACCAGCAAAUGAUGGAGAUGAUGCAGAGGAUGUACCCGAACGAGGUGUUCCCGGACGUGCCAGACCCGUAGUUUUUUUUUUUCCACAAACUCGGAAUGUUUUAUUUUUAUUUGUGAAACUUUGAGUAUUAAUUAAUAUGAUUUCAAUUUUACUUUUAAUUUCAUAUUUUCGAAUUUAAAUUUCAGAAAUUUUAUUUUUUUAAAAAAAUUAAUAUUUUUUACAUUCCGAGGAAAUUAAUUAUAUUUUUCACUUGAUCGAUCGAUGCGUUUUUUUAAAAACGUUCGGGCUAUACCGAGGGACAGGUUCCUCUGUUUAUUCUGAGGAACUUUUCCCUCGGUAUAUUCCGAGGGACACCUCCCUCGGAAAAUUCCGAGAGAGCUGUCCCUCGGAAAAUUCCGAGGAACUGGUCCCUCGGUAUAUACCGAGGGAAAAGUUUCUCAGAAUAAACCGAGGAAAAUGUCCGUCGGUAUACUCCUAUCGAUCGAUGUAUAUAUGUCUAAACACGCAUCGAUCGAUGAACUUCCGAGGAAUUAUACCGACGAAGUUCUCCCUCGGUAUAUUCCGAGGACAUUUCCGACAAACUAGUGAUCCUCGGAAUUUCCUCGGAAAUUUAUUUCCUCGGAAUUCCGACGGAAAAUUCCGAGGGAUUUCCGAGGAAAAAAUAAAUUCCGAGGAAUUAUUUCCGACGACGUGUUUCGUCGGUAUGUCGUCGGAAUAACGAUAUUCCGACGAAAUUCCGACGAUUUUUUCCCUCAGAAUCCAUGAUGUUUUCUUGUAGUGUAUGGUUGGUUAUUUAACUAUAGAUCUUUGGGCAAAUAUCCAAAAUAGCACAUUUCUAAAUUUAUGUCACAAAAUUAGCUCUCAAAAACUAAAAUGACCAAAAUAUCAUUUUAUCUUUUGAGAAAUUUAAAUUUUUUUUUAUUUUUCAAAAAUUGAAAUCAUAUCCAAAACCCCACUCCCCAACUCUAAACCCUAAACCCUAAAUCCUAAACCCUAAACCCUAAAUCCUAAACCCUAAAUCCUAAACCCUACCCCUUAACUCUAAACCCUAAACCCUACCCCUAAACUCUAAACCCUAAACCCUAAAUCCUAAAGCCUAAACCCCACCCCUUAACUCUAAACCCUAAUAUCUAAAUUAAUUUACCAUUGGGGUAUAAG
rnacentral:lncRNA from 1 species